UGCCAGCAGCCGCGGUAAUACGAAGGGACCUAGCGUAGUUCGGAAUUACUGGGCUUAAAGAGCUCGUAGGUGGUUAAAAAAGUUGAUGGUGAAAUCCCAAGGCUCAACCUUGGAACUGCCAUCAAAACUUUUUAGCUAGAGUAUGAUAGAGGAAAGUGGAAUUUCUAGUGUAGAGGUGAAAUUCGUAGAUAUUAGAAAGAACAUCAAAUGCGAAGGCAACUUUCUGGAUCAUUACUGACACUGAGGAGCGAAAGCAUGGUUAGCGAAGAGGAUUAGAUA
rnacentral:rRNA from 1 species